UCCUCUUCAGCCUGAUCGUAUUCUUUGCAUGGAGGAGGAGAACAUCUAGACUCCCCAGUGGGUUUGACAUGACAGACCGUUCACAGGGACUGGUGGGAAUGAACUCCCCGGUUGGGACAGUGUGCUCUAACCAGGCCACGGUCAGUAGAGGGAACCAGGAACCACCACUUAACAACCUAGAUGGUCUUUAAGCACAAGUCAAUCAAAGAGGUGCAUUUUAUGUAUUUUUCCAAUGGGUAUUAAGUGUUUUUAUGUACAAUAUUGUCAUUGUGUAUUAGUUUGACAUUGAUACUUUUGUUACAUUUAUAAUUGUGUACUCUUUGAUUAUCUGCAUAUUUGUCAAAUU